GUCUAAACAAAUCAAGCUUAUAGCUUAUAAAUGAAUCAGCUUACAAACUUAAACGAGUCAGUAAUUGUAAACUUAAACUUGACUCAUUUAUUAAACAACCCUAAAAAUAAAGUUCAAACUUGACUUAUAAGCAAAUGAGUUGAACUGAAUUUUUAUUGAGUGCAGUCUCCCCAUCCCGGCCCGCAUGUUACCAAAUCCUAACCCUGAGAACUCAGGACAAGAAACUUCCUUUUGCUACAGGAGUGGAGUGGUACACAAAUGGAUACUAUUUAAAUACCGCUUGCUUUCUCACAAAAAAAAUAAAAUAAAAUAAAAAUAUCAGACGUAAAUGCAUGAAUGUCAUCGGUGAUCUAUCCAACGGUAAAAUUAAUAGCUGAGUGCUAGAAGUAUAUGAACUCGACGCCUAGGCUCAUUUGUUUGGCAACAAGAUCCAAGCAACAAUCAGAACAAAUUCUACAUGUUUUGAUGCCUUGCCGCAUUAGUUUUUCCCAUACUAAUCUAUGUUUUGUACAAUGUUACAGGAACAUGAUCUUGCACCAUCAAACAUGAUUGGUAAUAUGCGGGCAGGGGUGGUGGGGAGUCAUUCUUUAUCUCUGUUGCAGCACAUGAAAAGUAAGCUGAUUUCUUAGACCCGACAACAGUAUCCAGAGCAAAAGAAGCUGCAAUGAGGCCAUUAAUAUUGGGGGAAAAACAAAUCUUAACAUGAAAUUUAAGAAUCUUAUGUAGUGACCAUCAUUUGAGCAGAGAAGACGGCUUAAUAUUUGAUCACCUGAGCCUUUGAGACUAGCGUCGGGCAGUUCGAGAUUUUGGCCUUGGUUUCUGCAAGGGCAUAGAAGAGAAAAUGUAAAAUAAAAUUCAGAUCAUUAAACAGAGAAAACAUGAACUGAUAAUGACUUAAAAACCAACAGGGUUUAAGUGCUUUACAAAUCACAUGUAUUUCGCUUUUCCAACCCCUCUAAUUGACUAAUUUCAGAAAAGGAUGCUUAACUUUAGGAUUAUCUAUGGUGGAAAAACUUUUCACAGAGAAUGCAUAUAGCUUGCUAAAUUUGUUUAAGAAAUAAAUCAGAAAGCUGGAAGAGAGUUACUCACAGAUGUUGUC
rnacentral:misc_RNA from 1 species